rnacentral:ncRNA from 1 species
AAAAUCAGUGGGGAAAGAAGACUCUGUUGAGCUUGACUCUAGUUUGACAUUGUGAAAAGACAUAUCAGAUGUAGAAUAGGUGGGAGCUUUGGUACUGGUGAAAUACCACUACCUUUAUUGUUUUUUUACUUAUUCAAUAAAGCAGAACUGAGCUUUACUGCCCAACUUCUAGCAUUAAGGUUCUUUGCAGGCUGAUCAAGGUUAAAGACAUUAUCAGAUGAAGAGUUUGGCUGGAGCAGCACAUCUGUUAAAUCAUAACACAGGUGUUCUAAGAGGGACUCAUGGAGAACAGAAAUCUCCAGUAGAACAAAAGGGUAAAAGUCCCCUUGAUUUUGAUUUUCAGUGUGAAUACAAACCAUGAAAGUGUGGCCUAUUGAUUCUUUAGUCCCUCAAAAUUUGAGGCUAGAGGUGCCAGAAAAGUUACCACAGGGAUAACUAGCUUGUGGCAGCCAAGUGUUCAUAGUGAUGUUGCUUUUUGAUCCUUCAAUGUCAGCUCUUCCUAUUAUACUGAAGCAGAAUUUGGUAAGUGUUGGAUUGUUCACUCACUAAUAGGGAACAUGAGCUGGAUUUAGAUCAUCAUGAGACAGGUUAGUUUUACCCUACUGAUGAAGAUCACCACAACAGUAAUUCAAUUUAGUAUGAGAGGAACUGUUGAUUCAGAUAAUUGGUUUUUGUGGCUGUCUGACCAGGCAGUGCCACAAAGCUACCAUCUGCUGGAUUAUGGCUGAAUGCCUCUAAGUCAGAAUCCAUACUGGAACAUGGUGAUGUUGCUCCACAUGUUGUAGUUGGAUACAAAUAGACCUACAGGUUCUGAAUCUCAGCAGAUCAGCAAUGACUUCCAGAAAGAGACUCUCAGGCACCAGCUGACAGAUUGCAAUGUCACCACAUGUGAGGAUAGAUUCUCUGCAGACAACUGAAAUGAUCAAGUAGGUCAUGUAAGCAGUCAAGUAGCCUAGUUAUUACAAGUUGCUGAGCAUCAGUCCAAUUCUUGGCUUAAUUU